UACGUAGGUGGCAAGCGUUGUCCGGAUUUACUGGGCGUAAAGAGCGCGCAGGCGGUCGUUCAAGUCGCGUGUGAAAGCCCCCGGCUCAACUGGGGAGGGUCACGCGAUACUGAUCGACUCGAAGGCAGGAGAGGGUAGUGGAAUUCCCGGUGUAGUGGUGAAAUGCGUAGAUAUCGGGAGGAACACCAGUGGCGAAGGCGACCACCUGGCCUGUUUCUUGACGCUGAGGCGCGAAAGCUAGGGGAGCAAACGGG
rnacentral:rRNA from 1 species